rfam:Roseomonas cervicalis ATCC 49957 contig00748, whole genome shotgun sequence.
GCGGAGCUGCCCGGUGCGUCAGGCAACUUUAUCCCUGGGGCCAAUAAGCAUCCUCCGGGAGCUGGCUCUGGCCGGGCCUUGGUCCGGUUACCUGGUGCCCACCUGCUAACGCAGGCCUUAGGAGGAUAAGACGCCAACGGCCAUGGUGGCUCCGCA